rnacentral:rRNA from 1 species
UACGGAGGGGGCUAGCGUUGUUCGGAAUUAUUGGGCGUAAAGAGCUUGUAGGCGGUCUGUCGCGUCUGCUGUGAAAAUCCGGGGCUCAACCCCGGACUUGCAGUGGGUACGGGCAGACUAGAGUGUGGUAGGGGAGACUGGAAUUCCUGGUGUAGCGGUGAAAUGCGCAGAUAUCAGGAGGAACACCGAUGGCGAAGGCAGGUCUCUGGGCCACUACUGACGCUGAGAAGCGAAAGCAUGGGGAGCGAACAGG